rnacentral:rRNA from 1 species
UCGCACCUGCCAACUGAAUGGUCUGGUGAAGCCUCGGGAUUGUGACUGGCUCGCUUUGUUGUGAGUUGGUCGCGAGAACUUGUCCAAACCUUGUCAUUCAGAGGAAGGUG